UACGUAGGGUGCGAGCGUUUGUCCGGAAUUACUGGGCGUAAAGAGCUGCGUAAGGUGGUUUGUCGCGUUUGUUCGUGAAAACCGGAGGCUCAACCUCAUGGCGUGCGGGCGAUACGGGCAGACUUGAGUACUGCAGGGGAGACUGGAAUUCAUGGUGUAGCAGUGAAAUGCGUAGAGAUCAUGAGGAAGACCAGUGGCGAAGGCGGGUCUCUGGGCUGACACUGACGCUCAUGCACGAAAGCGUGGGGGAGCGA
rnacentral:rRNA from 1 species